rnacentral:rRNA from 1 species
CCUACGGGUGGCUGCAGUGAGGAAUAUUGGUCAAUGGGCGAGAGUCUGAACCAGCCAAGUCGCGUGAGGGAUGACUGUCCUAUGGAUUGUAAACUUCUUUUGUCUGGGAACAAAAGACGCCACGCGUGGCCUCCUGAAUGUACCCGAAGAAUAAGCAUCGGCUAACUCCGUGCCAGCAGCCGCGGUAAUACGGAGGAUGCGAGCGUUAUCCGGAUUUAUUGGGUUUAAGGGGUGCGUAGGCGGAAGAUUAAGUCAGCGGGAAAAUUGAGAGGCUCAACCUCAUCGAGCCGUUGAAACUGGUAGUCUUGAGUGAGUGAGAGGUAUGCGGAAUGCGUGGUGUAGCGGUGAAAUGCAUAGAUAUCACGCAGAACUCCGAUUGCGAAGGCAGCAUACCGGCGCUCAACUGACACUGAUGCACGAAAGUGUGGGUAUCGAACAGGAUUAGAUACCCGAGUAGUC